AUUGCAGUUUCAAGAUAGAGUUCUAACUGUAGACCCAGAACCAAUAGCUUGUCUACUAUGGAUAGACCUUGCAACUGCUAUAGAGUGCCCACCGCUCACCAGGAAAGAGGGAGACUGACUUGCCCAGAUUGGCCUUACCCUUAUUUUAAUAGAUACGUGUGGUCCUACUUUGAAGCUUCCUUUGAAGUAAAUGGGAACUCCAAGACAUACCCUGCCAUGUCAACUGCGGUACAGCACUGAAGCCAGGCAAUAAAAGAAUAUGACUGAUUGGUUCCUCUGAAUUACAGAGCAUUUCAACUGCAUGCACCAUGCCGUGGACCAGAUGCCAAAAAAAAAAAAGAC